rnacentral:rRNA from 1 species
ACUACGGGGGGCAGCAGUAGGGAAUAUUGCUCAAUGGGGGAAACCCUGAAGCAGCAACGCCGCGUGGAGGAUGAAGGUUUUCGGAUGGUAAACUCCUUUUGUUAGAGAAGAUAAUGACGGUAUCUAACGAAUAAGCACCGGCUAACUCCGUGCCAGCAGCCGCGGUAAUACGGAGGGUGCAAGCGUUACUCGGAAUCACUGGGCGUAAAGAGCGCGUAGGCGGGAUAGCAAGUCAGAUGUGAAAUCCUAUGGCUUAACCAUAGAACUGCAUUUGAAACUGUUAUUCUAGAGUAUGGGAGAGGUAGGUGGAAUUCUUGGUGUAGGGGUAAAAUCCGUAGAGAUCAAGAGGAAUACUCAUUGCGAAGGCGACCUGCUAGAACAUAACUGACGCUGAUGCGCGAAAGCGUGGGGAGCAAACAGGAUUAGAUACCCGUGUAGUC